GCUCCCGGAUGUUAGCGGCGGACGGGUGAGUAACACGUGGGUAACCUGCCUGUAAGACUGGGAUAACUCCGGGAAACCGGAGCUAAUACCGGAUAGUUCCUUGAACCGCAUGGUUCAAGGAUGAAAGACGGUUUCGGCUGUCACUUACAGAUGGACCCGCGGCGCAUUAGCUAGUUGGUGAGGUAACGGCUCACCAAGGCGACGAUGCGUAGCCGACCUGAGAGGGUGAUCGGCCACACUGGGACUGAGACACGGCCCAGACUCCUACGGGAGGCAGCAGUAGGGAAUCUUCCGCAAUGGACGAAAGUCUGACGGAGCAACGCCGCGUGAGUGAUGAAGGUUUUCGGAUCGUAAAGCUCUGUUGUUAGGGAAGAACAAGUGCAAGAGUAACUGCUUGCACCUUGACGGUACCUAACCAGAAAGCCACGGCUAACUACGUGCCAGCAGCCGCGGUAAUACGUAGGUGGCAAGCGUUGUCCGGAAUUAUUGGGCGUAAAGGGCUCGCAGGCGGUUUCUUAAGUCUGAUGUGAAAGCCCCCGGCUCAACCGGGGAGGGUCAUUGGAAACUGGGAAACUUGAGUGCAGAAGAGGAGAGUGGAAUUCCACGUGUAGCGGUGAAAUGCGUAGAGAUGUGGAGGAACACCAGUGGCGAAGGCGACUCUCUGGUCUGUAACUGACGCUGAGGAGCGAAAGCGUGGGGGAGCGAACAGGAUUAGAUACCCUGGUAGUCCACGCCGUAAACGAUGAGUGCUAAGUGUUAGGGGGUUUCCGCCCCUUAGUGCUGCAGCUAACGCAUUAAGCACU
rnacentral:rRNA from 1 species